rnacentral:rRNA from 1 species
UUGCCAGCCCGCUCAGAAACUUAAGGAAUUGACGGGGCCGCACAAGCGGUGGAGUAUGUGGUUUAAUUCGAUGCAACGCGAAGAACCUUACCUGGUCUUGACAUCCCGGAGACCCUUAGGAAACUAGGGGGUGCUUCCAUCUGGAAGAAUCUGGAGACAGGUGCUGCAUGGCUGUCGUCAGCUCGUGUCGUGAGAUGUUGGGUUAAGUCCCGCAACGAGCGCAACCCUUGCCUUUAGUUGCCAGCAGUUCGGCUGGGCACUCUAAAGGGACUGCCGGUGUUAAACCGGAGGAAGGUGGGGAUGACGUCAAGUCCUCAUGGCCUUUAUGACCAGGGCUACACACGUACUACAAUGGCCGAUACAAAGGGCAGCGACACUGCGAGGUGAAGCCAAUCCCGUAAAAUCGGUCUCAGUCCGGAUUGGAGUCUGCAACUCGACUCCAUGAAGUUGGAAUCGCUAGUAAUCGUGGAUCAGCAUGCCACGGUGAAUACGUUCCCGGGCCUU